UACGUAGGGUGCGAGCGUUACUCGGAAUUACUGGGCGUAAAGCGUGCGCAGGCGGUUUUGUAAGCCAGAUGUGAAAUCCCCGGGCUUAACCUGGGAAUGGCAUUUGGGACUGCAAGGCUUGAGUGCGGCAGAGGAGACUGGAAUUCCCGGUGUAGCAGUGAAAUGCGUAGAUAUCGGGAGGAAUACCGAUGGCGAAGGCAGGUCUCUGGGCUGACACUGACGCUCAUGCACGAAAGCGUGGGGAGCAAACAGG
rnacentral:rRNA from 1 species